AUGUUUUGCAGUGGCUGGUACCAGUUUUUCCUUUCCAUAAUUUGUGCUUACAAGAGGAGCUCUUGUAAGUGCUCUACCAUGAUAAGAAGUGUUGGCUUUCCCUUUGCCUUCCACCGUAAUUGUAAGUUUCCUGAAGCUUCCCAGUCGUGCCUCCUGUUGUGCCUGCAGAACCGUGAGUCAAUUAAGCAUUUUUACUUUAGAAACCAGCUAGUCUUGGGUAUUUUAUACUGCUAUAGGAUUAUAAAAAUGGAAUAAUAAAACAUGUACAUUUAAAGUCUCCAAGCACAGGGUUUUUUUUCUGUUAUUCUUCAUGUCACAUUUGGUUCCUAUAGGGAGGAAUAUGAAUUACAUAAUGGAUUAGUUCUAUUAUUCAAAUCUUAUACCUUUCAACAGUGGGCUUUGCAAGGGGCCAAAGAUUUUAUUUCAGUAACAAUCAGUACAACAAAAUUCUGAAUUGUGGAUCGCUGUUUUAUUGGAAACAUCUGACUCAUUGAUUUUUAUUGAAUUUAAAUCUCAUCUCAAAAUGAACUGAAGUCCUAAAUCUUCCACAUAGUAUUUAUUAACUUUUUUCCCUUUGAUAAAAUGCUUUAAUCUCCCAUUCUUAGAGCAUCUCUAAUUUCUACACUGUAUUAUAAUUACCAAUGCCUAGAUCUCACUGUUCCUGUUGGAUUGCAUUCCUUUCAAAGCAAGACAAAUGUUUGAUUCAAUUCUGACAUUCUCAAAGAUUAGCUAAGUGUCCCCUAAAAAUUUGUGUUCAAUGGAUAUUUGUUGAGUGAAUAUAUAAGAGUUGACCAAUGUAGAUAACGUAAGAUAAUGGAUGAGAAAAAGAGAUUCAGCUCUUAAUCUACUGGAGAAUUGGCUUAAUAUCAUACAUGGUGUAUGGUGGGAACUACUGAAACACACCAUAGGUAACUCAGAUGUCACUCGUCCUUUUAUUAUCAUCUUGAAACUAUCUAUCUGUGUUCUGCCUCAUUCUAGUAAGAGAAAAACAAGCAUUGGUUAGCGUAGAAUCUACUGAAGAUCUGCUAGGAAAAGCAGAGGACUGAGUUGUGUCAUAAAAGAAAUUUAAAACUUAGAAAAGUUCAUAUAGUGGCCUUUUUUGUUGUUCCUGGGUUCCUUUUGUCUUUUUUCAUCUUUCCUUCCAUAAAGCACUCAGAUUUUCCUAAAAAUAAUCUCCUGCUCUCAAAUGUUUCUCAAGUUUUACAAAUCCCUCAUCUUUAUUAUAUGUGGAAUUUGCUUCUCCUAACUUAUACAGUGCUCAGCAAAAUGCCCUGUGGUAGCAUGCUCCAACCUCACUAAAAUGUAUUGGGAAAUGAUAUACAUUCAAUAAUUCAAAGCCCCCUUUAUUUAUUUUUAUUUUUUCCAUAAGUUAUUGGGGCACAGGUGGUAUUUGGUUACAUGAAUAAGCUCUUUAAUGGUGGUUUGUAAUAUCCUGGUGUACCCAUCACCCAAGCAGUAUGCACUGCACCAUAUUUGUUGUCUUUUAUCUCUCACCCUCCUCCCACUCCUGACCCCCAAGUCCCCAAAGUCCAUUAUAUCAUUCUUAUGCCUUUGCAUCUUCAUAGCUUAGCUUCCAUAUAUCAGUGAAAACAUAAAAUGUUUGGUUUUCCAUUCCUGAGUUACAAAGCCACCUUUAUUUAAAUGAUUAAAUAUUAUUAAUAAUUAAAUGCAUUAAUAAAAAUGAACAUAAUCAGAUAAUAUGGCUGUCCUAGCCAUGGCAGAUGGAGUUCUUUAGUAUACACAGAAUUAUUGCCAUUUCUUUGCUUGGGAAAGUUAAAAUAAGCCCUAGAACAAUACAAAUUAUGGGUCAUCUCAGGAGUCUUUCACUUUUUUGGGCCUAACUGGAAAUAAUUAGGGAGUUCCUGAAUCUGUAUGGAUCAUCAUUUCAGGCUGUUCAAACGCCUCCACGUGUUUGCAGACUGCCAGUGGGAAGAAGUUGCCUGGAUGUUGCUCAAGGAGAACAGAGGAUGUAGUGAACCUCCUAAAGCUAUUUUAAGUAGGAUUUCAUGGAGUAAAAUUGAGAUUUCCUGGGGCUCUCCUUUUUUCAUAAUUUGGUCAUAAAAUAUCCCUACCCUCUACUUAAGAGCUGAAGUCAAUUUAAUGACUCUAAAGAUAAUUGAAUUAGCAGUAACUUGUAUAAUACUUUGUUAUUUUGAUGAC
rnacentral:lncRNA from 1 species